rnacentral:rRNA from 1 species
UGACCUCGGAUCAGGUAGUCCCAGCC